rnacentral:rRNA from 1 species
UACGAAGGGAGCUAGCGUUGUUCGGAAUCACUGGGCGUAAAGCGCACGUAGGUGGAUCGUUAAGUCGGGGGUGAAAUCCCGGAGCUCAACUCCGGAACUGCCUUCGAUACUGGCGAUCUCGAGUCCGGGAGAGGUGAGUGGAAUUCCUAGUGUAGAGGUGAAAUUCGUAGAUAUUAGGAAGAACACCAGUGGCGAAGGCGGCUCACUGGCCCGGUACUGACGCUGAGGUGCGAAAGCGUGGGGAGCAAACAGG